GACGAACGCUGGCGGCGUGCUUAACACAUGCAAGUCGAACGCUGAACCCGCUUCGGUGGGGGAUGAGUGGUGAACGGGUGCGUAACACGUGGGCAACCUGCCCCCGGCUCUGGGACAACUCUAAGAUAUUGGGGCUAAUACCGGUUGUGACCGCUGGCCGCAUGGUCUGGUGGUGGAAAGGGUUUCCGGCUGGGGAUGGGCUCGCGGCCUAUUCGCUUGUUGGUGGGGUAGUGGCUUACCAAGGCGCCGACGGGUAGCCGGCCUGAGAGGGUGCCCGGCCACACGGGGACUGAGGCACGGCGCAGACGCCUACGGGAGGCAGAGGUGGAGAGUAUUGCGGAAUAGGGGGAAGCCUGACGCAGCGACGCCGCGUGGGUGAUGACGGCCUUCGGGUGGUAAACCUCUGUCAGCAGGGACGAAGCGCAAGUGACGGUACCUGCAGAGGAAGCACCGGCCAACUACGUG
rnacentral:rRNA from 1 species